rnacentral:rRNA from 1 species
UACGUAGGUGACAAGCGUUGUCCGGAUUUACUGGGCGUAAAGAGCGCGCAGGCGGUCGUUCAAGUCGAGUGUGAAAGCCCCCGGCUCAACUGGGGAGGGUCACUCGAUACUGAUCGACUCGAAGGCAGGAGAGGGAAGUGGAAUUCCCGGUGUAGUGGUGAAAUGCGUAGAUAUCGGGAGGAACACCAGUGGCGAAGGCGGGUCUCUGGACAGUUCCUGACGCUGAGGCACGAAGGCCAGGGGAGCAAACGGGAUUAGAGUACCC